AGUAGGUUCAAAGGCCAGGACAGAGGAAAACUGUGGACACUGUUGAAGGUGUGCCUCCAGACACUAAAGAUCAGAACAUCACCUACUUUGUUUGACAGUUGUAGUUCCUUUAAUUCUUCACCUUUGCAUUCAGCUGACCCAUGGGUAGAACAUGAACACAUCCAUCUGACCAGCGUACACUGACCAUCUUCUUUAACUGUGGGUCUUCCAAACAGUCAAAUACCACCUUGAACAAGACAUCAUGGCUGAGCUUACCUGGAAUCAAUGAUCUAAAAGAUGCUAAGAGUUUAUUAGCAGACCUUGCAGUGGACUAGAAAGAAUGACAGAUGCAAGGGAGACAGUCCACCAACAUACGUG